rnacentral:miRNA from 7 species
GUGGGCAUGGUGGGGAUGGGUUGGGGUUGGAUUCAAUGAUCCUAGAGGUCUUUUCCCACCUUAAUGGUUCUAU